UACGGAGGGUGCAAGCGUUAUCCGGAUUCACUGGGUUUAAAGGGUGCGUAGGUGGGUUGGUAAGUCCGUGGUGAAAUCCCCAAGCUUAACUUGGGAACUGCCGUGGAUACUAUCAAUCUUGAAUAUCGUGGAGGUAAGCGGAAUAUGUCAUGUAGCGGUGAAAUGCUUAGAUAUGACAUAGAACACCGAUAGCGGAGGCAGCUUGCUACACGAUCAUUGACACUGAGGCACGAAAGCGUGGGGAGCAAACAGGAUUAGAAACCCCGGUAGUCC
rnacentral:rRNA from 1 species